rnacentral:rRNA from 1 species
AACAAACGCUGGCGGCGUGCCUAAUACAUGCAAGUCGAACGGGUAGCAAUACCAGUGGCGCACGGGUGAGGAAUACAUAGAUAAUCUGCCUUCGAGUCGGGGAUAACCAGUCGAAAGAUUGGCUAAUACCGGAUAAGACCACAGGAGCUGAGGCUCUAGGGGUUAAAGGUUUUUCGCUUGAAGAUGAGUCUAUGCGAGAUUAGCUAGUUGGUGAGGUAAUGGCUCACCAAGGCGACGAUCUCUAACUGGUCUUAGAGGAUGAUCAGUCACACUGGAACUGAGACACGGUCCAGACUCCUACGGGAGGCAGCAGUAGGGAAUAUUGCGCAAUGGGGGAAACCCUGACGCAGCGACGCCGCGUGAGUGAUGAAGGCCUUCGGGUCGUAAAGCUCUGUCGUAUGGGAAUAACACAAUGAAUGUACCAUGCAAGAAAGGAUCGGCUAACUUCGUGCCAGCCGCCGCGGUAAGA